GAGAGUUGACGCAUAAAAAUGUCAUGAUUUGAAAUAAGUGGAGGAGGAUUCUCGGAGUUGCAAAUACAUAUUGAAUCUUAUUUUAAGGUUUAGAGCUUGGAACUAGGACUUUUAUUUUAACCAGAGCAGUCUAUCACACAGUCAUGUAAGUUUUGGUGUUGCUAAAAAGAGGAUGCUUAUUAGCUACAAUUCCGAUAAGCUACAAUGAAAGAAACUACAAUUCAGAUUGCUUAUCUUCCCGUAAAAGUAAGAAUUGUUUUCACAGAUAAGACUUUGUUUCUUUCGAAGAGUUUGGUUUCAGUCUGGAGAAGGAGCUAUGAUUGGUUUUGAAUAUGAAAAACUCAGAAAAAUCUGCAGCAACUGUACUUGUAUAAACCAUCACGCCAAAUAUUGUCCCUAUCUUGUUCUUCCAAUUAUUCUUGCAGAUGACGAUGAUGAAGUGGUGAUUUCUGUAUGGGAGGAAGGACAAAGUUCCAAUAACUUCAGUCGUAAAGCAGAGGAACAGCGUUUUAAAAACUCUGAUAUUUCUUCUUACUUUUCUAUCUCUUAACUACCUAGCUAGACCUCCUACUCUUUUGUCCAACAGUAUAGAAUUUGCUGCAGUGAAUCAUCUAUACAACUUGUCUUUUGCAAAUUCUGAGUGUAAACAGGAUUCCAUAGGAUCCAAUUCAGAAAAAAAAAUUCAAAUUAAAUCCAGAUUUGAGAUU